UACGUAGGGAGCAAGCGUUGUCCGGAAUCAUUGGGCGUAAAGCGCGCGUAGGCGGCCCCGUAAGUCCGCUGUGAAAGUCAAAGGCUCAACCUUUGAAAGCCGGUGGAUACUGUGGGGCUAGAGUCCGGAAGAGGCGAGUGGAAUUCCUGGUGUAGCGGUGGAAUGCGCAGAUAUUAGGAGGAACACCAAUAGCGAAGGCAGCUCGCUGGGACGGUACUGACGCUAAGGCGCGAAAGCGUGGGGAGCGAACAGG
rnacentral:rRNA from 1 species